rnacentral:rRNA from 1 species
UACGUAGGGUGCAAGCGUUAAUCGGAAUUACUGGGCGUAAAGCGUGCGCAGGCGGUUAUGUAAGACAGAUGUGAAAUCCCCGGGCUCAACCUGGGAACUGCAUUUGUGACUGCAUAGCUAGAGUACGGUAGAGGGGGGAUGGAAUUCCGCGUGUAGCAGUGAAAUGCGUAGAUAUGCGGAGGAACACCGAUGGCGAAGGCAAUCCCCUGGACCUGUACUGACGCUCAUGCACGAAAG